rnacentral:rRNA from 1 species
CACGUAGGGGGCAAGCGUUGUCCGGAUUUAUUGGGCGUAAAGAGCGUGUAGGCGGUUUUACAGGUCAGCUGUGAAAACUCGAGGCUCAACCUCGAGCUGUCGGUGGAAACCGUAAGGCUAGAGUCCGGAAGAGGAGAGUGGAAUUCCUGGUGUAGCGGUGAAAUGCGCAGAUAUCAGGAAGAACACCCGUGGCGAAGGCGGCUCUCUGGGACGGUACUGACGCUGAGACGCGAAAGCGUGGGGAGCGAACAGG